UUAGAAUUACAGGCAUGAGCCACCUCGCCUGGCUGGUUUUUGCCUUUCUUAUAGACCCUGGGCAUGUAAGCAUUUAUUAGUUUGCAUUUUUGAAACAGUAAUUUCAAUAUUUUAGUGCCAAUGUCAGGCCGCUUAAACACUGUAUUACAUAUCUUCAUCUGUCUGGUGGAACUAUUGGUGUGAUCCUAGAGAACUGAGUCCUAUUCUGCCAUUCAUUUAAAGUGUUUUAAACUCUAAUCUCUCUACUUAAUGCACAGUAGUCAGAUUAUUCUCUUAAACAUUUGCCUAGUAGAGGUUAAAAUAGUUUAAUCCUUAUGAAGAUGGAAUAACUUCAAACUCACAUUGUGGCACUUAGAUCUUCCACCAAGACUUCAUCCGUGAAAUCCACACCUCCCUGUUGGGUUCCCAAUUACAUUCCAAAUUUACAUUUCUUUUGAGAAUCUCUGCAUACUCCAGCUCUGUCCUGUUGAUCCUAUUCUAGAAGUGCUUAAUGCAGCAAGACACAGAAAGUUAAACGCAAAUUGCUGCAAAAUUCACCCUCAGUGGAGGACUAGAAACACAACAUGUCCAAUUUAAAGCUCAGUUCACAAGCAGUUCAAUUCUGCUGGCAUCAGAAAAGGAGAUUCUAAUUAAACAUUCUUAGGGAAGGACAUCAAAUGAGGUUAAUGGGAAACGUUACCAGAUUAAAAGCAGUUUUUUGACAAAGUAACAGAUUUGGAAAUUCUGACUCUCUGAAAGCCUUGAUUUGAACCUCAAACUUGAUUUCACCAUGAGAAGUGGGGAUCAAGGGCCUGCGCAGUUCUUUUCCUAAAUCGAUUCGGUGCUCCCCACCCCGACGCAGGCACAGGUCCGCAACCAGAUAGGGAGAUGCCUGAAUUUCAGGCUACCUUUGACAAAGCUUUCUUCCUCCCUCCCUCCCUUUGCACGCUGCAUCCCACGCUGCCUGCUUAAAGCGCCCUCAUGUGUCUACAGAUGGUAAAACGUUUAUUUCUCAACAGACAUUCCAGUGAUAGCAUCCAAUGACCUAUGUAACGGCACCCUUUUUUGCUGUACGCGUUUUUUGAGAUGGAGUCUCGCUCUGUCGCCCAGGCUGGAGUGCAGUGGCGCGGUCUCGGCUCACUGCAAGCUCCGCCUCCCGGGUUCACGCCAUUCUCCUGCCUCAGCCUCCCGAGUAGCUGGGACUACAGGCACCCGCCA
rnacentral:lncRNA from 10 species